UGCCAGGUAAUAAAUUAGAGGUGGAUAUUUAGUAUUAGUUUGUUGAACUUAUCCACAGGGCCAGCUGCUAAGGUACACGGGGCAACCAGGGAUGGAGGAGCCCUCUGCGCCUCUCCUGAGCAUUUGCUGCUGCCAACCUGCCUCGGGAUUCUCGCCUGGAUCUCAGCUGGGAUGACUGAAUUUAUGAGAAUUGCAGAUCGGUAGAGACCUAACCCCCAUGUGCAGAGCACCCAGGUCCCAGAGCAGCGAUUCUGUCCCAUUUGCUGCAUAGACAACUGGACUAUAAGUCAUUACCAGUGAGUAAAUUACUGGAAGGGGCAGUCAGCAAUUCAAAUGAAGGCAAUGGGCAAUAAUGUGGUCACCUUUUGACUUGUAU
rnacentral:lncRNA from 1 species